UACGUAGGGGGCAAGCGUUGUUCGGAAUUACUGGGCGUAAAGGGCGCGUAGGCGGCACGGCAAGUCAGGAGUGAAAGCCCUGGGCUCAACCCGGGAACUGCUUUUGAAACUGCCGAGCUAGAGUGCGGAAGGGGCAACUGGAAUUCCCAGUGUAGCGGUGAAAUGCGUAGAUAUUGGGAAGAACACCUGAGGCGAAGGCGGGUUGCUGGGCCGACACUGACGCUGAUGCGCGAAAGCGUGGGGAGCAAACGGG
rnacentral:rRNA from 1 species